AAAUAGAAAGACAUGUUAUCUGGAUUCUAAUUAAAAAUGGAUCACAGUUCUGAGUAAAAGAACUAGUGAAGAAGUGAUAUUUUUGUCCUUCAACAUUAAAUUCCAUGAGUCAUUGUUGCUUGCAUCUUGUUAUUAUGGACAGAUUAAACAUAUUGGCUAAACAUUUAUGUUGAGUCUGAGGCAACGUGUGUAAUAUAUCCUCCAUGUGCCCCAAUUGGGCAGGGACAGUCUCAAUAAAUCCUCAUUUUCAGCUGCUUUUAAAAUGUCCUAUGUUCGCCUCACCCCCUAUGCCUUCAUCUUGCUUGAAUUUCUGCAAACAGAGUUCAAAGUGCAAAAAGAGUUUACACUCAGUUAAUUGGGGGGAGGGGGUGGAGAGGAAGGGAGAGGAGUGAUGGUGGGAAUUAGGCAAAGGCAAACUCUCCUAGCCUGUGUGUUCUUCCUCAUCAGUAACUUUUGCCAUUUUGAGCUCACUCUGAAGUUGCUUGGCUGCAUAUUUCUAUUUUCAUCCAUGAAAUGAUGGAGGGUAUGCUGUUGCUUGCCAGGUACAAGAAGGGCAUCUGGCACCCAUGGCCGUCUCAUAUUACUUCUUCAAGAUGUGGACAUCCAUCAGGUCCAGUGUUACUAUAAGAUCUUCACCUGAAGGCAUCACCUGCAAUCGAGCAAAGCCAGCCUGCACCAAAAUCAGGCAAAGCAGAGAUAGUUCAAACAACAACAGAGAUUGUUGCAAAGAUGUCAUCAGAGAUACUGCUUUGAGUCCUUCAGAAAGAAAUUCAUCACCUGUGCAAAAGAGGGAUUCAUGCAGAAAGUCAAAGAGUUCUGUUCUUUCCAGAGUUAUGCUGAAAACUCCACCGAGGAGGCAGUCAAGUGUACAAACUCACAUGGGAGGGACAAUGUUAUAUGAUGUAUGGUCAUCAAGCCCAGAGGAUAUUAACAAGCAACAGGUCUCCAAAACAGAUGUUCCCCACUGUCAUACUGGUGCUUCUGUUGAAACUAUUUACAAGUCUCCUACCUUUCAGACCUUUGAUCCUUUGGCAGAUAAUACAGUGAACACCACAAAAUCGGCUCCACCUUCUGUACAGUUCUCUGGGCCUAGUGAAGCCAGCCUGCAAAAUGCCCACUACUUCAUACCAGCUGCUGGACAGAUAGCUGGUUGUCCCACAACACGGCCAGGCUCCUCCAGCUCUGUUGGGACAUCUUCCUCCUUUUCUAUUUUUUCCCCUGGAUCCGCAGUUCCGAACAACACACCACAGCCCCACUGUGAGCUUCCCCAUGGAUCAUCUUAUUUAUCUUCCCCACAAGAUCUUUACUUUAAAGACCUUAAGGAGAGGAUUGCAGAGUCCUUUUCUCCUUGCCCAGCAUCUGAUGGAGAUGAUAGUAGUAUCAUAAAUCAACAUUUUGAUAAUUCAAAAAGAAUUGAUGGAUUUAGAAGCAGAACAUUUCGUGCCACUGGUGAGAGCUGGGAAAACAAUGUAAUGCAAGAGACAUCUUCUUCACCAGCUCCUGGCACGCCGCCUCCUGCAAAUCGCCUUGAGGAAGACCUUCUUUAUAUAAGUGCUGAACCAAAAUGUAUAGCCAUUUUGGAAGAGAUUAAAAAUACAGUUUGUGGACUAAGAGGAGACUUCUCCAGUGCAACCCAGGAGCUGCGUGUUAUUAGUAAUAAGUUAACAAAUAUGGUGGCUUCUGUUCAAAAUAUGAACCAAUUCAUUGUCGCUCUCCAGACUGAUAUACAUGAGUCUGACCUAAUAUAGUUAUCCUAAUGGCCACUUCAUUAAAGUGCCAGAAAUUGUUUCUGAGUUGUGCCUCAGUAAUCUGUUUUAUAUUGCACAUCAGAUAUCCUAGUUUAGAGUUUGAAUGAACAGGUAUAAAAAUACAUAUAUGUACACACAAAAAUGUAAACACAUAUACAUAUAUAUUCACAUGUUAAAUUCUUGUUACCAAAUAUAAAUAGUUGUUUGUAUCAUUUAAUGUAGUUAACCUUUUAAAAAGAGAAUUGUUUAUUCUAAUUUGCUGAAUAUUUGAAAUCUGCAUGUCCAAGCUAAACUUAAAACAAAUAAAGCAUUAAUCUCAAAAGGCCCAAAGAGCAAUUAAAUACGUUUUCAGCAAACCUAGCCCACAUAUAGUCUUCUUGAAUGCCUUCACAUGACUUAAAAUUCCACACUAUCCAUGAAGCUAUUAGGAGGGAUAGAGUUUAGUAGGACAGUGACUACUUGUGCUUAGUAUUAAAGGACUUGAAAUAGAACUGUGCACAGUGUUUGUUUGAGACAAACAAUUGUACAAGAAAGCUACCUGGCAGCUCUGAAGUCAUGGAAACACGAUAGACAAAAUGAUAACCCUGCCUCAUUGAUUUCAGAGUCUCUACAGUGGAGAGCAAUAGUGGAAAUGCCAGUAGGAGAACUGUACUCUCUGAUUUCAAGUGACAGUUUAAAUGCUAUCUGAUAAAGAGCUUAGGGAAAAAGACUUGUGAGGCUUGCUGAGAAAUGCACGUAUAGUGUUAAAAAGUGUAGAUGGAAAUGACACAAACUAAUGGAAAAAACAGUGGCUAAUCUUAGUGACCCUGUCUGGGGGUUGAUAGAGAUGACUGCAGAUUCUGCACUUGGGAAAGUAGUGAGAGGUUUCUAGAGCAGAACUACUUAACUUUGGGUUUCUUUGAGGAAAAAAUCUAACUUCACAAUCAUUUUGCAAUUACUUGUUUUUUUGUUUUUUUAUAUAUUUAAGAAGACUAUGUGUUGAUGCAACCAGCAGGCAAACUCUUACAUGGCAGGAAAUAGUGCUUAAGAAAGUAAAUUUUCAGACUACUGCUCAACACUGACUGAUUCUGAGAGAUAAACACAAAGAAAAAAUGUCCCAUUAUUUGAAUCCUUCUAAUGGUGCAACUGGAAUGGUGUUGUAUUGUGGCCUCCUGAUGGGGGUGGGGUGAUCUAUAUUAAACAUCUGCAAUGGUGGCAAAAACUAUGCUGGGACAGAAAAGAAAAAGGGGGAAAUAAACCUCUUUUGUUUUUGAUUUUGAAUGUAUGGCCCUCCACAAUGUUACAAGUUUCAUCCACAAAAAGAUCUCUGUUCAAAAUUUAUUUCUUACACAUUUAUUCACAUAAACCAGAGGUGGGGUGGAAUUCCCAAAUUGACAUGGAAAUUGAUCUUCUUGUCUCCUUUAAACUGAAAGUGGCCCAGAGCCUUCACAAAGAGUGGUGACAUUGCCUCCAAAUCCCCUCAUAUGGCUUUGGGGGGCCGUGGAAGAGAGUGCAGACCACGAAGUUACAUGGGGGAUCAACGAAGAGAGGCAAUACGGCGCUCUAACUGUUGAUAUUUGCCCAACUCUGCCAUAGACAUUACCUUAAUAUUUUAGUUUUAGCAGUUUGCCUGGCAAAGGAACCAGCAAGCUAGUAGACUAAUCUACAGCAACAUUUAAAACACAAACGAAUGUAGGCAGUUUCCUGUACCCUUACUCCAACUCAAACUUUUCUUUACUGUUGCCAAAAAUGAAACAAUUUUGGCUUUCUCUUUUCUUUUUCUUGAUUUCACAUGUGAAUAUUCAUAGGAGGAAUUCUUUUGGUAAAUAUUUGGAUUCCACUGCCCAAAAAACAUAUUUGCGUUAAUCUUUCAGAUCUCACUAGUUUGCCCUAACAUCUCUGUCAAAUUUGCUUGUUGGUGAAAUACAGUUUGAGGAAUUAUAAUAUGCGAAGUUCUAGGUAGACUCUUUCACUUCUUUUUAAUAGCUGACUCCAAGCAACAUUUGAAAGUGAUUAAGAUCUAUUAAAAAUAAAAGCACUCUAACAAAAGAAUAAAUAAUGUGUGACAUUCUUGAUGGAAUAUUGUGUGUUUGUUUUCUGUCAUGACAAAUUAAUUUUAUACUUACUUAAAAAUACAUAGGGGCCCCUGGUGGCACAGUGUGUUAAAGCGCUGAGCUGCUGAACUUGCGGAUCAAAAGGUCCCAGGUUCAAAUCUCAGGAGCGGAAUGAGCACCUGCUGUUAGCCUCAGCUCCUGCCAACCUAACAGUUUGAAAACAUGCAAAUGUGAGUAGAUCAAUAGGUACUGCUCCAGCGGGAAGGUAACGGCGCGCCAUGCAGUCAUGUCGGCCACAUGACCUUGGAGGUGUCUAUGGACAACACCGGCUCUUCGGCUUAGAAAUGGAGAUGAGCACCAAUCCCCAGAGUCAGUCACGACUGGACUUAAUGUCAGGGGAAAACCUUUACCUUUACCUAAAAAUACAUAACAGUGGCUGAAAAUAUGGUAUGAAAAUAUGUGAUGACAAGAAAUGUGAAUUAGAUAUAGCAAUAGUUUCAUUUGUGUAAAAUUCAGAGCUUUACCCUGACAGAGCACAUUUGUGGCCAUUUGAAUGACAAUAAUAUUUGUGCACACUAGUUCUUCUGCUUUGACUUGGCAAUCAACUGGGUACAGGGGACACAUUUCUGAGUGUUCCUGUUUGUAAUCCCACAAAAACAAAGCACAGAACAGUUCCAUUUUAUAUCUACCUCUUGACCCUUGGAUUUAUAUUCUCUAGUAUAGCUUUAGAAUUCCAUUAACACAAAGAAAUCCUUUUGUGAUGAAAUUAUUCGGAGUUGUUCGGUUUUGCCAGCUGUACAACUGUAACCACACAAUGUUUGAGACCUCCAUCCCCAUUCAUUGGUUGUGAAGUGUGGCCCAGUAUGAACAACCUGAACUAGUGUGCACAAGUAGGUACUAGAUAUCUAUUUCUGCAAUGACUGAAAAAAGUACAUUUGUCAGUAUAUGACACCUGCAGCACUCUGGCCUAGAACUGUGUGUAUUGCAGUUGCCAUUCAUAAUUUCCCUACCUCAGGUCAAUUACCUUGCCUACUUGGAUUAAGGUAGGAAAAUAACCUUUUAACAGUAAGAAAAAGAGAAGUGCAGUAAUCACAAGAUAUAAGAGGAGUCCAAAGGAGACAAAGAUAGGUGUCACUUUUCUUGGGAACUGGAACAAAUAUGGAGCACCUCCAAUCUGCAGGCCACCGUUUCCACAUUUGUUGACCAUUUUUGUUAGAAAUGGAGUAGAUCCUGUCUCUGUAGUUUGAAGCAACUAUCUUGGUGUACUAUCUGGUGAUUUAUUUCUCUCAAGUGCCGUUAGUGCCGCUUCCACUUCAUUUUCUAAAAUUGUAGGUUCAAUGGUUUCCAUCCAUUGAAGCUCCCCUUUCUUUUUGGCAGCAGACAAUGCUUUUUUGCAUUCCUUCUUGACAAUAUCUCUGGCUUCAGUCCAGUUUUUUUUGGUUUCCAGUCAAUUAGACUUAAUAGUACAAAUCCAUUUGACAUCUUUAAAUUCUGUGGGGAUUUUAUCCUGGUUUUAGUUCUUCUUUAGUUUUAAUUUUGAUACCAGCAAGUUCAUGGUCUGUGCCACAAUCUCCUCCUGGUCUUAUUUCUGAAGAGAGAAUGGAGUUUCCAGUUAUGUGGUCUUAUUUAAUUUCUAUAUUGUCCACCAGACACUGUCACUGUAUCUUGUAGCUUCUUGGGUUACUUGAAGAAACUGCUAUGAAUGAUUUUUUCUAUCACCUCUGAACACAUCAACAGCUGAAAGUCUUUUCAACUUGUGUCAUUAGUGACCACACUACUUGUAGUCGUCCUCUACUUUACCCCAGUUGAGUGCCAUCUGCUGUAAGAGUCUUAAGUUCUGUUGCUCUCCUCUAUUUUAUUUUGGAAUGUUUUAUCAUAGGGAUUUCAUGGCAAAAGACAAAAGGGAUUUACCAUGCCUCCUCUGCACAGUGCUAAUAAUUGUUAGCUAUGGUGGCACUGCCCUUGUUUCAGAGACUCUACUCACACCAUAGUUCCCUUUACAGUUGUUCUUUACUCACAGGAACAUACAAUCCCACCACUGCUAUUAAAUGUCAGUACUGUGUCUAUUAAGAUUCUCUACAUGUGCAUACUCACAUUGUGUUUGUCUUAAGAAAACUGAAUAGAAAACACUGUUUACAAAUUAUAAAUGAAAAGUAAUGCAUCUUUUCAGAAUCCCAUUCUAUAGUAUUGAAUACUUUAUUCUUAAAAAAUUAAACUUGUAACACCGAAUGCAUUUUACAUUUAAUGUCGAAUAGUCAAUUACUAUAAUUAAUCUCAACCAACACACACUUACU
ensembl:lncRNA